GUGGCUAUGGUGUAAUGGCAGCACUAGAGAUUGUGGUUCUCUCAGCGCGGGUUCGACUCCCGUUAGCCACCCCA
rnacentral:tRNA from 2 species